rfam:Myotis davidii contig26617, whole genome shotgun sequence.
AGGCCUGAAGAGACAAGCAGGGUCUGAUCCAUAGCCUCUGUGGCAGCUAUUGAUCAGCACUUGCCUCUCUCUUUAGCUCCG